GGCUGGAUCACCUCCUUUCUAAGGAGCUAGAAGGCUAGACCUUCCAAGCUUACCUAGGUCAAAGCACAAAUCACUCACUUAUUCUGCUAUUCGGUUUUGAGAGACCAGAGUCUUCUCUGGUUUUUUGCUCUUUAUAACUUUAGUGUAUCGUGAAGCAGGCCUGACGGCCGAUUUUGGAUUAUGAAUUUUGGAUUUUGGAUUUGCUUCAAGAUCAGGAGUUCGAGAUUCAACAUUGCUUCUGAGGGCUUGUAGCUCAGUUGGCUAGAGCACACGACUGAUAAUCGUGAGGUCGAUGGUUCGAGUCCAUCCAGGCCCACCAUCUUUAUUGGGGGGUGUAGCUCAGCUGGGAGAGCACCUGCCUUGCACGCAGGGGGUCAUCGGUUCGAACCCGUUCACCUCCACCAAUAAUUAACGGCAAUUUUGAAUUAUAAAUUUUGGAUUUUGAAUUUUAAUUCAACAUUCAGAAUUCAACAUUCAAAAUUGCAUUUAACAGUUCUUUGACAAUUGCAUAGUGGAUAGUUUAGGUGGUUAAAGCAUACUCAGUGCGUAUGUUUUAACUUGAAUUGUAUGAAUUUGUAGAUUGAUUUCGAUUUUUUAUGGUCAAGCUACUAAGGGCGUACGGUGGAUGCCUAGGCAGAGAGAGGCGAUGAAGGACGUGGUAAACUGCGAUAAGCUUCGGUGAGCCGUUAAACAGGCUUUGACCCGGAGAUUUCCGAAUGGGGAAACCCGGCAGGGGUAAUGCCCUGUCACUGUGCACUGAAUACAUAGGUGCAUAGAGCGAACGAGGGGAACUGAAACAUCUAAGUACCCUCAGGAGAAGAAAACAAUAGUGAUUCCGUAAGUAGCGGCGAGCGAACGCGGAGUAGCCCAAACCAAUAUCACUUCGGUGAUAUCGGGGUUGCGGGGCCUUAACGUGGGAUUGAUGAAGGGUAGCUGAGCGGUCUGGAAAGGCCGGCCAUAGUGGGUGAUAGCCCCGUAAGCGAAACUCUGAUUCACCCUAGAGGAACCCCAAGUACCGCGGAACACGAGAAAUUCCGUGGGAAUCCGGGAGGACCAUCUCCCAAGGCUAAAUACUCCUCUCUGACCGAUAGUGAACCAGUACCGUGAGGGAAAGGUGAAAAGUACUCCGAUAAGGAGGGUGAAAUAGAUCCUGAAACCGUAUGCCUACAAGCAGUGGGAGCACCAUGUAUAUCAGGUGUGACCGCGUGCCUUUUGCAUAAUGAGUCAGCGAGUUACUCUUGCUAGCGAGGUUAAGUUCAUAGAACGGAGCCGAAGCGAAAGCGAGUCUUAACUGGGCGUCCAGUUAGCAGGAGUAGACCCGAAACCGGGUGAUCUAUCCAUGGCCAGGGUGAAAGGAAGGUAACACUUCGUGGAGGCCCGAACCCACUGGCGUUGAAAAGCCAGGGGAUGAGCUGUGGAUAGGAGUGAAAGGCUAAUCAAACUCGGAGAUAGCUGGUUUUCCUCGAAAUAUAUUUAGGUAUAGCCUCGCGUAUACGUAACGGGGGUAGAGCACUGGAUGGGCUAGGGGUCUCACCAGAUUACCAAACCCAAUCAAACUCCGAAUACCGUUAACGAAGAGCGCGGAGUCAGACGGCGGGUGAUAAGAUCCGUCGUCAAAAGGGAAAGAGCCCAGACCGCCAGCUAAGGUCCCAAAAUCUACGCUAAGUGGAAAACGAUGUGGAAAUGCCCAGACAACCAGGAGGUUGGCUUAGAAGCAGCCAUCCUUUAAAGAAAGCGUAAUAGCUCACUGGUCGAGUGGGUCUGCGCGGAAAAUGUAACGGGGCUAAGCGUAGUACCGAAGCUGCGGACUGACGUCUUAAGACGCCAGUGGUAGAGGAACAUUGUGUAAGCCUGUGAAGGUCGACCGUGAGGACGGCUGGAGGUAUCACAAGAGAUUAUGCUGACAUGAGUAGCGAAAAUGCGGGUGAGAAACCCGCACACCGUAAACCCAAGGUUUCCUCCGUAAAGGUAAUCUGCGGAGGGUUAGUCGAUCCCUAAGGCGAGGCCGAAAGGCGUAGUUGAUGGGAAACAGGUUAAUAUUCCUGUACCACCUAUUGUUGCGAUGGGGGGACGGAGAAGGGUAGGCGAGCCGGUUAUUGGAUUUCCGGUUUAAGCGUGUAGGGGGGGAAGGUAGGCAAAUCCGCUUUCCCGUUAACUCUGAGACGUGAUGACGAGAGCGUAUGCUCACAAAGUCGUUGAUCCCAUGCUUCCAAGAAAAGCCUCUAAGCUUCAGACAGUAGGUGAUCGUACCGUAAACCGACUCAGGUGGGUGAGGAGAAUAUCCUAAGGUGAUUGAGAGAACACUGGUUAAGGAACUCGGCAAAAUGACACCGUAACUUCGGGAUAAGGUGUGCCCUCAUUAGGUGUAGCGAUUUACACGUGAAGCCGAAGAGGGUCGCAGAGAAAUGGCGGUAGCGACUGUUUACUAAAAACAUAGGUCUGUGCUAAGUCGUAAGACGAUGUAUACGGACUGACGCCUGCCCGGUGCUGGAAGGUUAAGGGGAUUUGUUAGCGCAAGCGAAGCUUUGAACCGAAGCCCCAGUAAACGGCGGCCGUAACUAUAACGGUCCUAAGGUAGCGAAAUUCCUUGUCGGGUAAGUUCCGACCUGCACGAAUGGCGUAACGAUUUCCGCGCUGUCUCAACCAGUGACUCAGCGAAAUUGAAUUCUCGGUGAAGAUGCCGAGUACCCGCGGUAAGACGGAAAGACCCCGUGAACCUUUACUAUAGCUUGACAGUGACAUUCGGAAUAGCUUGUGUAGGAUAGGUGGGAGACUUUGAAGCUGGCACGCUAGUGUCGGUGGAGUCGCCCUUGAAAUACCACCCUGGUUGUUUUGGAUGUCUAACCUUGGCCCGUCAUCCGGGUCGGGGACACUGUCUGGUGGGUAGUUUGACUGGGGCGGUCGCCUCCCAAAGAGUAACGGAGGCGCG
rnacentral:misc_RNA from 1 species